CCUACGGGGGGCAGCAGUCGAGAAUCAUUCACAAUGGGGGAAACCCUGAUGGUGCGACGCCGCGUGGGGGAAUGAAGGUCUUCGGAUUGUAAACCCCUGUCAUGUGGGAGCAAAUUAAAAAGAUAGUACCACAAGAGGAAGAGACGGUUAACUCUGUGCCAGCAGCCGCGGUAAUACAGAGGUCUCAAGCGUUGUUCGGAAUCACUGGGCGUAAAGCGUGCGUAGGCUGUUUCGUAAGUCGUGUGUGAAAGGCGCGGGCUCAACCCGCGGACGGCACAUGAUACUGCGAGACUAGAGUAAGGGAGGGGGAACCGGAAUUCUCGGUGUAGCAGUGAAAUGCGUAGAUAUCGGGAGGAACACUCGUGGCGAAGGCGGGUUCCUGGACAUUAACUGACGCUGAGGCACGAAGGCCAGGGGAGCGAAAGGGAUUAGAUACCCCUGUAGUC
rnacentral:rRNA from 1 species